rnacentral:rRNA from 1 species
UACGUAGGGUGCGAGCGUUGUCCGGAAUUAUUGGGCGUAAAGAGCUCGUAGGCGGUUUGUCACGUCUGCUGUGAAAUCCCGAGGCUCAACCUCGGGCCUGCAGUGGGUACGGGCAGACUGGAGUGCGGUAGGGGAGAAUGGAAUUCCUGGUGUAGCGGUGGAAUGCGCAGAUAUCAGGAGGAACACCCGUGGCGAAGGCGGCUCUCUGGGCCGAAACUGACGCUGAGGAGCGAAAGCGUGGGGAGCAAACAGG